UACGUAGGGGGCUAGCGUUGUCCGGAUUUAUUGGGCGUAAAGAGCGUGUAGGCGGCCAGAUAGGUCUGCUGUGAAAACUCGAGGCUCAACCUCGAGAUGUCGGCGGAAACCAUUUGGCUAGAGUCCGGAAGAGGAGAGUGGAAUUCCUGGUGUAGCGGUGAAAUGCGCAGAUAUCAGGAGGAACACCGGUGGCGAAGGCGGAUCUCUGGGCCUGUCCUGACGCUCAGGCGCGAAAGCUAGGGGAGCAAACAGG
rnacentral:rRNA from 1 species